ensembl:lncRNA
UUACUUGCGUUCUUACUAACUUAUUUACUUGUUUACUAACUUAUUUACUUACUAACUUAUUUACUUGCUUACUUACUAACUUAUUUACUUUUUUACUAACUAACUUAUUUACUUACUAACCUGCUUGCUUGCUUGCUUGCUUACUUAUUUACUUACGUGCUUAUUUACUUGUUUAUAUACUUACUGAAUCCUUGCAUCCCAAGGUAUCCGCUACAACCAGCACAUUUUCUUAAUUUAAUUCCGUGUUAGCGUUUCGAUCGAAGACCUUCAUGGGCAACAGAAGCGAAGAUGCUUCUGAGAAAGAUGUUUUUUGUUUCUCUUCUCUGAGGUCAUGUGAUGGUUAUAGGUAGGGACGAUAGGUAGGGACGGGCGGCGUACAGACUUGAAACGAUAUCACGAUAUUUCAUGUUUUUUUGGGGGGGGGGGGUUGCGGUAAGGAUAUAAAUGACGAUGUGAAAGUGGUAACGUUCAACACCAUGUUUCUGGCCUCGGCAGCAGACAGUUUUGAGAGCCGUGCAAACGUGAAUACUGAUCCCGAAAAAAGUCCGGCUUAGUCCUUCAUCAAAUGCUAAACUAUACCAUGCAAGUAGGCUUAAAAAUAUAAUAUGAAACGUGAACACCAAUACAUACUUGCAGGAGUAUAAUAAUAAUAAUAGUAGUAGUAAUAAUAAUAAUAAUAAUAAUAAUAAUAAUAAUAGUAGUAGUAGUAUACGUAGUAAUAAUAAUAAUAAUAGUAGUAGUAGUAGUAGUAAUAAUAGUAGUAGUAGUAGUAGUAAUAAUAAUAAUAAUAAUAAUAAUAAUAGUAGUAGUAUAAAUCAUCAUCCCAGGAAAAACAAUGGAAACAUUGUAUCUGAAAACCACUUCCACAUUACAGAGGAAGCUCCUUUUGGGGGAUUAAUUCUCCGUCCUCGUCUCGGGUUGGAUCUCUGCUUUCCACCACGCUUUACAAAACUCUCAUCACGGGGAGGAACUGUACCGGUACGUCACGGACGAUACGAUACGGCACAGCCCGAGUUACAGGACACAGAGCCGGUGAAGAGAUAAGGCGUAUCAUGAGAUACAACACUACGUUCCUGUCCCUCUGAAAUCCUCAGGCACGAUAAAGCUUUCGUCUAACCUAUCGUGGUAGGAAUCUAUCAGCGAUUCAUGACGCCGUCAUCAGACGACGCGAGCUAAUUGUGAAACCCGAUACUGCGCGACGACUUCGCCUUAACGUGAUUAACGUACAGCGCACGGCACUCAGGAUGUCCUCCUCCGGCAAGACCGUCUGACUAAACACAUUGCUACUUCUCA